CGACAUGCAACUUGCAACAAGAAUGAUCGUAUCAUGAUGCAGUUUUGCAGCUCUUGUCUCGCUGUUUUAUAUUAAUGUUGCCUAAAGUCUGCGAAAAAUGUCACGUAGCAGAUAAAACCACAUGGGAUAUAAUCCUCCUUUCAGCAUGUUUUUAAAUAUGAAUAUGGAUUGUCAAGCAAAUUCCAACAGCAACAGAGCAGCAAAACCUGCUGAGUUUCCCCGGCGCUUCCAGCUUUUUAUUGCUCGAUAACUUUGAUUCCGACGAUGAUUAGAAGCUACGAAAAAUAUCAGUCAAUAAGUUGAGGAGGUAUUGAGGCAAGGCAGAGAAGUAUCUCCCUCUUUAAGAAGGUUUUACUCGGUAGAAUGUUGGUUAUUCCGGACUCCGGAUCGUUUAUUCUGUGGCUGGUAAUAAUUAUGUACAAACGCAAAUAAUAACCUUUGUUUCUACUCCAAAACAUUGACUUUUAAUCGUCUUUAUCAGCGUGCCCAAAAUGUGGGUCUGUUAGAUGUCCUUUUCGAAUGGAGAGACCCAAAUUUACAGCAGCUGCAUUUAUGAUCUUGGUCUGCAUUUGUACUGCCUCUAUUCUGAGUUGGGGGGAGAUGGUGGUUUGGGCCGGGAUGGUCGUCGGAGAUUCGAAACAACUGUAUGGUUUUAAAGGUUGCCCUUGCCCAGUAUUUGUGCCUGUUAUUGUCAGUCUUGGAACAUCACCCACAUCAAUCAAACAAAAAAAAAGUUGAACUCAAGUUGUCAGAUACUUCUGAAAUCACGAAAAAGAUUUGUAUUGUAACGUUUAUGACUGUUGGUAAUUGUGAUUUCAUUAGUGCGACA